rnacentral:tRNA from 1 species
GCCCCCGUGGCGGAAUUGGUAGACGCGGCAGACUCAAAAUCUGUUGCCCGGAAGGGCAUGUUGGUUCGAGUCCGACCGGGGGCA